rnacentral:tRNA from 1 species
ACCCCUGUAGCUCAGUUGGAUAGAGCAACGGUUUCCUAAACCGUAGGCCGCGAGUUCGAGUCUCGCCGGGGGUA